AUCAACGCUGGCGGCGUGCCUAACACAUGCAAGUCGAACGCGGUUUCCCCGCAAGGGGAAACUGAGUAGGCGGAACGGGUGAGUAACGCGUGGGUGACCUACCUUCGAGUGGGGGAUAACGUCCUGAAAGGGACGCUAAUACCGCAUAACAUCCUUCCUUUGAACAGGGGGAGAUCAAAGCCGGGGAUCGCAAGACCUGGCGCUUGAUGUAGGGGCCCGCGUCUGAUUAGCUAGUUGGUGAGGUAAUGGCUCACCAAGGCGACGAUGCAGUAGCCGGCCUGAGAGGGCGGACGGCCACACUGGGACUGAGACACGGCCCAGACUCUUACGGGAGGCAGCAGUGGGGAAUUGUUCGCAAUGGGCGCAAGCCUGACGACGCAACGCCGCGUGGAGGAUGAAGGUCUUCGGGAUUGUAAACUCCUGUUGCCUGUGAAGAAUGGCUCCAACCUAAUACGUUGGAAGCUCGGCUUGACGGUAACCGGGUGAGGAAGCCCCGGCUAACUCUGUGCCAGCAGCCGCGGUAAUACAGUAGGGGGCAAGCGUUGUCGGAAUUACUGGGCGUAAAGGGCGCGUAGGCGGCCUGUUAAGUCGAACGGUGAAAUCCCCGGGCUCAACCCGGGAACUGCGUCGAUACUGGCAGGCUUGAGAUCCGGGAGAGGGAAUGCGGAAUUCCAGGUGUAGCGGUGAAAUGCGUAGGAUAUCUGGAGGAACACCGGUGGCGAAGGCGGCAUCCUGGACCGGCAUUGACGCUGAGGCGCGAAAGCCAGGGGAGCAAACGGGAUUAGAUACCCUGGUAGUCCUGGCCCUAAACGAUGAAUGCUUGGUGUGGCGGGUAUCGAUCCCUGCCGUGCCGAAGCUAACGCAUUAAGCAUUCCGCCUGGGGAGUACGGUCGCAAGGCUGAAACUCAAAGGAAUUGACGGGGGCCCGCACAAGCGGUGGAGCAUGUGGUUUAAUUCGACGCAACGCGAAGGAACCUUACCCAUGGCUCGAACGGUGCACUGGAAAUCCUACUAAGUAGGCAUCCCGCAAGGCAGUGAUCGAGGUGCUGCAUGGCUGUCGUCAGCUCGUGUCGUGAGGAUGUUGGGUUAAGUCCCGCAACGAGCGCAACCCUGUCUUCUGUUGCCAUCAGGGUUAUGCCGGGCACUCUGAAGAGACUGCCGGUGACAAACCGGAGGAAGGUGGGGAUGACGCCAAGUCAGCAUGGCCUUUAUGUCUGGGGCCACACACGUGCUACAAUGGCAGGUACAAACCGUCGCGAGACCGACAAGGUGAGCUAAUCGGAGAAAGCCUGUCUCAGUUCGGAUUGUAGGCUGCAACUCGCCUGCAUGAAGUUGGAAUCGCUAGUAAUCGCGGAUCAGCACGCCGCGGUGAAUACGUUCCCGGGCCUUGUACACACCGCCCGUCAGCAUCACGAAAGCUGGCUGUACUAGAAGUCGCCGCGCUAACCCGCAAGGGAGGCAGGUGCCUAAGGUAAUGGUCAGUGAUUGGGGUG
rnacentral:rRNA from 1 species